CAGCAGCCACGGUAAUACGUAGGUGGCUAGCGUUGUCCGGAAUUAUUGGGCGUAAAGGGCUCGCAGGCGGUUUCUUAAGUCUGAUGUGAAAGCCCCCGGCUCAACCGGGGAGGGUCAUUGGAAACUGGGAAACUUGAGUGCAGAAGAGGAGAGUGGAGUUCCACGUGUAGCGGUGAAAUGCGUAGAGAUGUGGAGGAACACCAGUGGCGAAGGCGACUCUCUGGUCUGUAACUGAUGCUGAGGAGCGAAAGCGUGGGGAGCGAACAGGAUUAGAUACCCGGGUAGUCCCUGUCUCUUAUAA
rnacentral:rRNA from 1 species